AUUAUUGGAGGUGGUGGUCGUGAGAGACUUUGCUACAGCUUGCCAAUGCCAUGUUUUAUCACCUCAUAUUGUAUGGAUAUUAUUGGUUACCGGCAGGCAGGAAUAUCUCAUUAGAUGGCCAACUUCUACAUCCGACAACAACAUCAAAGUUUACUUGACGUGCUAACGCUGCCUGAAGCCUUUGAUCUCUCUCUCUCUCUUUGGGGGGC
rnacentral:lncRNA from 1 species